rnacentral:other from 1 species
AAUUCCCUACCAUGUUGGUGAUGGAAAGGUAACUAUUGAGCCAACACCUCAUUGUGGGAAGCCUUAAUGUAGCAGGAACUGUCAUGCCUCAUUGAGGAAGGCACUACUUGUUAUGCGGGCAUCCACUUGGACCUACUAGGUUCAAAAGUUCCCUUACACACGGCAUAGCGUGGGGAAUUU